AGGGAAACGAUUGAAGUCAGUCGUACCUAUGGGUAAUCAGCCUUUUGGGUGUGAUUUUGUGGAGCGUGAUGAGUUAAACGCCUUCAUGCCUGCAUAUUCGUGCACUUUGGGUGUACUUGCCCGUGUGUAAGUUAACAUCAAUUUUGGUGGUCAUAAAAUGGCUGGAGGAAUGUAGCUUCGAUCUUGUAUUGAAGUGUUUAUAGCCUUCGGUAGAUGUGACGAUCGGGAUUGAGGAUUGCAACGGAUACCCUUCGGGGCUACCUGUCUGAUCUCUGAUUGUUGCUCUGGUGCCGAAAGCUUGCUUACGGUUAUUAAAGUCGAUGGUCAAUAGGUUAGAAUGGGUUAAAUUCGUUAAGGAUGUUGACGUAAAUCACUAG
rnacentral:rRNA from 1 species